UUUAGAGUUUGAAUCUGGCUCAGAUUGAACGCUGGCGGCAGGCCUAACACAUGCAAGUCGAGCGGAUGAAGGGAGCUUGCUCCUGGAUUCAGCGGCGGACGGGUGAGUAAUGCCUAGGAAUCUGCCUGGUAGUGGGGGAUAACGUCCGGAAACGGGCGCUAAUACCGCAUACGUCCUGAGGGAGAAAGUGGGGGAUCUUCGGACCUCACGCUAUCAGAUGAGCCUAGGUCGGAUUAGCUAGUUGGUGGGGUAAAGGCCUACCAAGGCGACGAUCCGUAACUGGUCUGAGAGGAUGAUCAGUCACACUGGAACUGAGACACGGUCCAGACUCCUACGGGAGGCAGCAGUGGGGAAUAUUGGACAAUGGGCGAAAGCCUGAUCCAGCCAUGCCGCGUGUGUGAAGAAGGUCUUCGGAUUGUAAAGCACUUUAAGUUGGGAGGAAGGGCAGUAAGUUAAUACCUUGCUGUUUUGACGUUACCAACAGAAUAAGCACCGGCUAACUUCGUGCCAGCAGCCGCGGUAAUACGAAGGGUGCAAGCGUUAAUCGGAAUUACUGGGCGUAAAGCGCGCGUAGGUGGUUCAGCAAGUUGGAUGUGAAAUCCCCGGGCUCAACCUGGGAACUGCAUCCAAAACUACUGAGCUAGAGUACGGUAGAGGGUGGUGGAAUUUCCUGUGUAGCGGUGAAAUGCGUAGAUAUAGGAAGGAACACCAGUGGCGAAGGCGACCACCUGGACUGAUACUGACACUGAGGUGCGAAAGCGUGGGGAGCAAACAGGAUUAGAUACCCUGGUAGUCCACGCCGUAAACGAUGUCGACUAGCCGUUGGGAUCCUUGAGAUCUUAGUGGCGAAGCUAACGCGAUAAGUCGACCGCCGGGGA
rnacentral:rRNA from 1 species